AACGAACGCUGGCGGCAUGCCUAACACAUGCAAGUCGAACGAGACCUUCGGGUUUAGUGGCGCACGGGUGCGUAACGCGGGGGAACCUGCCCUUAGGUUCGGAAUAACUCCCCGAAAGGGGUGCUAAUACCGGAUAAUGUCUUCGGACCAAAGAUUUAUCGCCUUUGGUUGGGCCCGCGUUGGAUUAGCUUGUUGGUAGGGUAAAAGCCUACCAAGGGGACGAUCCAUAGCUGGUCUGAGAGGAUGAGCAGCCACACUGGGACUGGGACACGGCCCGGACUCCUACGGGAGGCAGCAGUGGGGAAUAUUGGACAAUGGGCGAAAGCCUGAUCCAGCAAUGCCGCGUGAGUGAUGAAGGCCGUAGGGUUGUAAAGCUCUUUUACCCGGGAUGAUAAUGACAGUACCGGGAGAAUAAGCACCGGCUAACUCCGUG
rnacentral:rRNA from 1 species